AGCUGGCUGGUCUCACGAGGUGAUUUCUGCCCAGUGCUCUGAUUGUCAACGCGAAGAGAUUCUGCAAAGCGCGGGUUAACGGCGGGAGUAACUAUGACUCUCUUAAGGUAGCCAAAUGCCUCGUCAACCAAUUAUUGACGCGCAUGAAUGGAUCAACGAGAUUCCUGCUGUCCCUAGCUACUGUCCGGUGAACCAACAGCCAAGGGAACGGGCUUGGAUGCGUCAGUGGGGAAAGAAGACCCUGUUGAGUUUGACUCUAGUCUGACAUUGUGCAACGUCAUGAAGGGUGUAGCACAGGUGGGAGGCAAGUGCCCUAUUGAGAAUGCAACACUUGACCUCUUAUCCUGGGUGCGAAUCGGCAAUGAAAUACCACUACCUUCACAGUCGUUUUACUCAUUGAGUGGCAUGGGAACGGCAGCCUCUGGUCAGCCAACGUGGGAGUUUCACAAGUUGUGGUGAGCUCCAUGGCCCCGCCGGUUCGAGCGCCAAAAACGGUCACUUCGGUGGCUGUUUGACCCUGUCUAUCGUCGAAGCUUCGGGACAACGCUCAGAUCGGGAGUUUGGCUGGGGCGGCACACUUGUUACAGAACAACACAGGAGUCCCGAAGCAAUGCUCAGGCAGAAUGGAAAUCUCUCGCAGAGGAGCAGGCCAAAGGCAUGGUUGAUGUGGCAACUUUCAGUAUGAGUUCAGAACACGCAAGUGUGGCCUUGCGAUCCUUUGGUGAAGCACGAGUUCCGGAUAUCGAAGCCAGAGGUGUCAGAAAAAUUACCACAGGGAUAACUGGCUUGUGGCAGCCAAGCGCUCAGAGCGACGUUGCUUUUUGAUCCUUCGAUGUCGGCUCUUCCUAGCUUCCCACCUGCAGCCGAGUGGAAGAGUUGGAUUGUUCACCCACCGACAGGGACGUGAGCUGG
rnacentral:rRNA from 1 species